AUUGAACGCUGGCGGCAGGCCUAACACAUGCAAGUCGAGCGGAGCGGCGGACGGGGGAGUAAUGCCUAGGAAUCUGCCUGGUAGUGGGGGAUAACGUCGGGAAACGGGCGCUAAUACCGCAUACUAUCAGAUGAGCUUUGAUCGGAUUAGCUUGUUGGUGGGGUAAAGGCCUACCAAGGCGACGAUCCGUGACUGGUUUGAGAGGACGAUCAGUCACACUGGAACUGAGAAACGGCCCAGACUCCUACGGGCGGCAGCAGUGGGGAAUUUUGGACAAUGGGCCAAACCCUGAUCCAGCAAUGCCGCGUGUGUGAAGAAGGUCUUCGGAUUGUAAAGCACUUCAAGUAGGGAAGAGUUACCUGCAGAAUAAGCACCGGCCAACUACGUGCCAGCAGCCGCGGUAAUAC
rnacentral:rRNA from 1 species